rnacentral:lncRNA from 1 species
GUAAUGUCACCAUAUCUGAAAAGCGAAGAUAAUGGCUGCAAGCUCUAGGAAAGAAAGUGGCCGUGAGGUUACAAAGGUCGUGACUGAGUCUUGGUUGAUUAGUUUGCCUUUUCUUGGUCUGGUGUGGCUAACAGGCGACAGAAGGAUGACGGCUUUUUAUUGGGAACGUAGCGUAGAAAGGGGUUCUUCCGCAGUGAAGCAAAUGAUCUAGCCAAUCAUUCUUCUACCGAUUAUCCAAGUUCGGUAUUCUGUA